rnacentral:piRNA from 1 species
UGCCCAACUUGCUGUGAGUCUUAUC